AUAUGGAUAGUAUUAUUUUAUAAUUUUUCAUCUGAUGAAAAAAAGUAUAUAAAGAAAUUGUUACGGAGUCAUAGCUAUAUAUCAAAGAGGGCGAAAAUGUGGAAUACCUGUUUCAUCAAAUAUCAAAGUCUCAUCUUCAUCUAAAAUGAAAAGGAAAAGUCGGGAGCAGGUAAAAAAAGCAUAGUGCUAAGCCAAAUAAAUGCUUACAUGUCCAUGCAAAAAUACCACGUGCAUGUGGCGAGCAUUAUAACUCUAAUAAGAAAUUAAAUUUUAAACGAAGUGAAUUGAAAUAUCUUAAUAACUUCAGGAAAAAAAAUCAAAAGAGAAAAGAGAUUUUUCAAGAAAAGAUAAAUGUCUUAAUAAGUAAAAUGGAUAAGAUAUCUGUUUGAAGAAAAGGGGAACCUUCCUCUAAAACUAAGAUAUGAUAUAUAAGCGAUAGUGAAAAGUACCGUGAGGGAAAGGAUUGAAAUAGCAAUUUUAUAAGCAGCUCAAGAUAAACAAGUAGAGCGUACCUUUUGCAUAAUGGGUCAGCAAGUUAAUUUUUGAUGCGAGCAGCAAUGCUUAGGUAAAACAAUUAUGAUGUAAUGAUAUAGUAUCAAAAAUUAGACCCGAAGCCUAGUGAUCUUACUCUAAUCAGGAUUAUAAAAGUCCGAACGGGUUAUCGUUGCAUAGAUAUCCGAAGAAUUAUGGUAAGUUAGUGAAAGACAAUACUGACUAGGAUAGCUGGUUUUCCGCGAAACCUAUCUAAGUAGGUAAUUUAAAUAGAAUAUCAGAAGGUACAGAAUUGUGAUCUCAUACAACUAGCAUUAAUUCUAUAUAAAAUAGGAAAAAUGUUUUUUGUGGACAUUGGGGGGUCGUGAAGACUCUAUCAGUGAGUAUUUGUUCUCGGAAGGACUAGAUAUGUAGAUUAAAUAAUCGGACAUAGUGCGAAAAGGUUGUAUGUCUAAAGGGAAACAGCCCAGAACAAGAGUUAAUAAGGUUCCAAAAUUUUUGUUAAGUGAAAUUAAGGCAGUUUUUAUAUUAAUCGACCAGGAAAUAGGCUUAGAAGCGGCCAUUUUUUGAAGAUCUCGUAAUAGAGCACUGGUUUACUUUUUUAUUGAAAGCGCCUAAAAUUUAACGGAUCUAAACAAAAUACCGAAACCUUGUCUAUAUUUAGGUAUGUAUGUAUACCAUAUGUUGUAAAUAUAGGGUAGCGGAACAUUGGGCAGGUUUUGGAUUAAUCCUUUACAAGGGUUAAAAUUAAACAGCUCAAGAGAUAAUGCUGACAUGAGUAACGAUAAAGGGGAUGGGACUAAAAAUACGAUCCCAAUUAGGAUUGCGAUCCCGGUUAUGAUUACGAUCAGGAUUAUGAUGACGAUGACGAUCACGAUUAUGAUCUAGACUCCCCUCGCCUAAAGCUUAUGGAAUUUACAUAAAGUUACGGCCUCUAAGUUUAUUAUACCUUAAAAAAAUAAAUAAAAUUAUCUAGUAUUAUUUUAUAAAAAGGUCCCUAAUGGGAUAAACGAUGAGCAAACCUAUCUUUUUACAGGAAAUAACAUUUUUUCUAUACUUUUUAUUGUUGUAUAAAAUAAGUGACAAAUGUUCUGGAAAACUGUAAAAAGCAUUUUUUUAGUGUAAAUAAACUGAAACAGAUGAUGCGCCUAAAAAUGAAAUGAUACCGUACCUAAAUACUAACACAAGUAAGCAAGUAGAGUAUACGAAGGCGUUCGAGUGAACAAUCAUUAAGGAACUCGGCAAAUUGACUCUCGUAACUUCGGGAUAAGGUGGUCCAUCCUUUUUAUUAAUAUCAAAAUAGGAAGAGGAGACACGAAAUAGUGUUGUACGACUGUUUAAUUAAAACAAAGCACGCUGCAAAAAAAUGAAUUCGAAGUAUUGUGUGUGAUCUCUGCCCGAUGGUAAAUGGUUAUCGGAUUUUCUUAGUUGACUAAAAUAAGCUAGGUUUUGAAGGAACCCUUAUUCAAUGGCGGCCUUACAGAUGAGGGUCCUAAGGUAGCGGAAUACCCUGGCCGUUAAAUGCGGUCUUGCAUGAAUGAUGUAACGAUACAACAGCUGUCUCAAUGAUUGGCUCGGUGAAAUUGGAAUAACUGUGCAGAUACAGUUUACCUCUAGUUAGACGAGAAAGACCCUUUGCAGCUUUACUGCUACUAGUUAUUGAAUAUGACAAAAUGUCUUGUAGUGUAUAAGGUAAUUGGUAAGAUAACAUUGAAACACCUUUAUUUCAUUUAUCAUAUUAUAUAAAAUCUACCAGUAAAUUAAAGAAAAAUUCACUGGUUGUAAAAACUGAUAGUAACAAUUGCUAGUUUAACGGCUUAAACCUGCUUUACUGUUUGACUUACAGGUCUAUCAGUCGCGUAAGCGGGGCAUGUGAUCACAAGAUGCAGAAAGGAAAGGUCUUGGAUUAAUGAAAAAGUUACGCUAGGGAUAACAGGCUAAUUGCGCCAGAGAGUACAAAUUGAGUGCGCAGUUUGGCACCUCGAUGUCGGCUUAGCUCAUCCACAUGAAUGCAGAAGUCAUGAAGGGCUGGACUGUUCGUCCAUUAAAGAGCUACACGAGCUGGGUUAAAUACGUCGUGAGACAGUAUGGUUUCUAUCUACUAGAGGAGAUUAGAAUAAAAUAAGGAUAACCCCUUGUACGAAAGGAGUUGGGUUUGUUAACCUAUGGUUUACCUGUUGUUUAUCCACCUUUAUUAAUAUAGUUAUGAGAGUAGAAAUCUCUUGUGACUAUAAGCUAUGAGUUUAUAGCUAUAAGCGCAAUCCUUUUAGUGCCAUGACUCAUACUGGGAUUUUAUUAUUCACUAAAAUAAUUUUUAUGUAUAAAUAAACUAAAACAGAUGAUAUACUUAUCUAGGAUAGGCACGGCAGGAAAGCUAUGUUGAUUAAUGAGAAGUGCUGAAUGCAUAUAGGCACAAAACAUACCUUAAGACAUUCUCAAAUAUAUGUAGUUUAACACUACGACAUUAGGAUUUGUCUUUUAAACUAAUAUAUUGGUUUAAAAGCAUUUUGGUGGAAAUAAACUGAAAUAGAUGAUACAUUUAAAAAUGAAAGUCCUAAAUAGGCUUUGGUUUAAAGAAUUGUGACGUUUUUAGGCACAAAGUACUAAUUUUAUAAUUUACUAGAUAAUA
rnacentral:rRNA from 1 species